GACGAACGCUGGCGGCGUGCCUAACACAUGCAAGUCGAACGGAGAUAUGAUUUCGGUUGUAUCUUAGUGGCGAACGGGUGAGUAACGCGUGAGCAACCUGACUCUUAGAGGGGGAUAACACCCGGAAACGAGUGCUAAUACCGCAUAAGACCACGACAUGGCAUCAUGACGAGGUCAAAGGAGCAAUCCGCUGAGAGAGGGGCUCGCGUCCCAUUAGAUAGAUGGCGGGGUAAUGGCCCACCAUGUCAGCGAUGGGUAGCCGAGCUGAGAGGCUGAUCGGCCACACUGGAACUGAGACACGGUCCAGACUCCUACGGGAGGCAGCAGUGGGGAAUAUUGGGCAAUGGGCGCAAGCCUGACCCAGCAACGCCGCGUGAGGGAAGAAGGCUUUCGGGUUGUAAACCUCUGUCCUUGGUGACGAAAAAAUGACGGUAGCCAAGGAGGAAGCCCCGGCUAACUCCGUG
rnacentral:rRNA from 1 species